rnacentral:rRNA from 1 species
UACGUAGGGGGCGAGCGUUGUCCGGAUUUAUUGGGCGUAAAGAGCGUGUAGGCGGCUUGGUAGGUCUGCUGUGAAAACUCGGGGCUCAACCCCGAGACGUCGGUGGAAACCACCUGGCUAGAGUCCGGAAGAGGAGAGCGGAAUUCCUGGUGUAGCGGUGAAAUGCGCAGAUAUCAGGAAGAACACCCGUGGCGAAGGCGGCUCUCUGGGACGGUACUGACGCUGAGACGCGAAAGCGUGGGGAGCGAACAGG